AUUAACGCUGGCGGCGUGCAUAACACAUGCAAGUCGAACGAUGAAACUUAACUGAUUUCUUCGGAAUGAUUUUAAGUGGAUUAGUGGCGGACGGGUGAGUAACGCGUGAGUAACCUGCCUUGGAGAAGGGGAUAGCCUUUGGAAACGAAGAAUAAUACCCUAUGAUAUGAUAAUAUCUCAUGAUAUUAUCAUCAAAGAUUUAUCGCUCUAAGAUGGACUUGCGUCUGAUUAGUUAGUUGGUGAGGUAACAGCUCACCAAGGCAGCGAUCAGUAGCCGGCUUGAGAGAGUGUACGGCCACAUUGGGACUGCGACACGGCCCAGACUCCUACGGGAGGCAGCAGUGGGGAAUUUUGCACAAUGGGGGAAACCCUGAUGCAGCGACGCCGCGUGAUUUAGAAGGCCUUCGGGUUGUAAAAAUCUUUUGUAUGGGAAGAAAAUGACAGUACCAUACGAAUAAGGACCGGCUAAUUACGUG
rnacentral:rRNA from 1 species